GGCGGGCCGCGGGGAUGGGGAGGCCGGGGGCCGGCUGGGGCCAUGAGGGGACGGACGUGGCCCGGCCUGUGGGGGGGUUGUGUGUGGGGUCCCCGGCCGGGAAGGCGGCCCGGCCCCAGGAGUGCGCUCGCCGCCGCUGCUCCCGGCUGCAGCCGGGCGGGGUGGGGAGACGCCGCCCCUGGAUGCGGAGCCUCCCAGGGGAAACACCCGCCGCCAGCCGGGCCUUGACCCCUGCGGGGCUGCUCCGAGCGCCGCUCGGCCCCGAGCGAACCGCUUGGCAUGAGCAGCACCGGAGUGUCCUUGGCCUGAAACCCUGCUCGGCUUAACCCGAAAUGUCAGGCUAAUCCAGCGCUCCUUGGGGGGUUUCCUACCUGGGGGAGAGCAGCAGGCUCAGGCUUUGAAACGCUGAUCUUAUGCCGGGUUUGUUGCUGUUAGAGAGGGCGUGUGUCUUGAAGGAACAACAGUUCCCGUUCAUCGUGCAGCCUUUUUAAUUUGGGCAUGCCCCCGAAGGACAGAGCAAUCCCAGGCAGCCUUUACAGCAGCUUUGUUUAAUGGUUUCCUACUGUUAAGCAGCCUGAUAAUGAGAAACCUCCAAUAGUCUGGAGUGUGCUGACAAAAGAAAACGUGGAUACUUGUGAUAACUCUUAGGAUAAAAGUUUUCUAUCCAGUGUUCUUUAGUUAAGAUUACCGACUACAGGUAUGCGGGUACUAGAGAUCCUUCUCUGCUGCAUGCUUAAAUGAAUUUAUGUUAAAAUGGCCAUGGUGGCUGACUGGUUUAUUCAGCUGAGUAAGUUAUGAAUAAUAAUGUGUGAUGGAGGUGACUUAACUUCUCCAUGGAAUAAGAAUUGGAGGGGAAGGGAGGCGAGGUCAUUGCUCACGAGUAUAUUGUCCCGUUUAUCAGCUGUUCCAUGCAUGUACAGUUAAUUAGGCUUUUAAAGAGCCCUCUUUAAAAAAAAAGCAAAACAAAGGAUUUCCUAAGGGAGGGGGAGGGGCCGACUUACUUCAGUAGAUGCAAAUGUGUGUCUUUAGUCCUACAGACCAGAGCACCAACAUGUAGGGACAGCUGUUUCUCCUUAAUUUCUGUGGGGACCACCACUCUUUGUCCUACACUAACAAACUAAGAGGAUUCACUUCCUGGACUCUUCUGUUGACGUCAGUAAUGCGAUUGCCAACUGAAUAAUUAACCACUUUAUCACAUCUGCCCCGCGAGGCUGCAGCCUGGGGAAUAUUGAUUAUUUGUUUUGUGGUGGGAGCUUUGUAUGUCUUCUGCAAAGUGCAAUCUGGUUUUAUACUCUUGUUUUCAAGCUGAUGGCUUGAACGAGUGUGCACUUACAAACUGUUAAAUGUGAUAGACUGGACUAUGAUGGUACUUCGAGCACUAAAGGAAAUGAUUUGGGGCAGGCCAGAGAAUGAUACACUUUUUCUGUAGCACUGAUGGUGGUUGUGUCUUACUGAUUGAUCCCUCUGUUGUCAUUUUCUGUGUGAUGGAGAGGCCGAUUAUCCAAUUGUAUAUAAAAUCACUUGUUUUAAUUCUAUUUAUUGUUUUCACUGAAUGUGAAAAGGUUACUGACUUGAUGAAAAGUAUAGCUUGCAAUAAAAACAGUGUGUAGUUCUUACUACAGUGUGGGAUUACCCUAGUAUAACAAAGUGCCUAUUCAAUAAAUAAUUGAAAUGUAUGUGAGCUACCAUCUGGUGCUGCAGAGAAGGGAUAAAAGUUUAUAAUCCAAGCUCUUGAUGGUAAGGGGAUGGGCCUAAGUCUGGACUGCUAUAUAUUUGUCUUCCAUCAACAAGGAAUACCGUUAAAACCUAUUACAGUUGAUACACUGUGUUCUUCCUUUUCCUUCAAGCUGUUAAAAACAAAUAAAUGCCAACAACGGGACACCUUUUGUCUGUGUCCUAAUGCCCUCACAGUGUGUUUUCACUGACAAGGAACUUGUUUCUGCCUCUAGCUAAUCAGGAAAAUAUCAUGCCAAACACACUGAUCUUCCUCAUGUCAUGAUAUGCAGUCUUAAUUACAGCCUGGUUCUCUGUUAGAAGGUAUUCUGGAUUGAUGUGCACAAGUUUCGUGUGCUGUUGUGUGUCUGUAGCAGCCUGAGAGCAUAGUUAAAUAUCUGGGAUAUACUUUGAAGAUCACUUUAUCAACUGGAAACAGAAGGAAUUCCUUUUUGACAAAAUGAAGACUUAUCACUGACAAUGGAAAUAAGCUGCCUAGGUAUUAAGGUUAAAUUAAGCUGAGCUAUGUAACAAGCGUUUCUUUACUAUUUUGGAUUUAAAACUGUGUGUGAGGUAUCACACAUGUAAAAUUCCCUUAAAAUGACUCAGUGUGGCUAAUGGACUUGCUUGCAUUCUUAAUUGCCAAGAGAAGACAGGGUUUGGGCUAGGUAGUUGAUGCAGUUUAUUCCUGGCUGUGGGUGCAGAGGAGAUGUGCGGUGUAGCUGCUGGAUGUGGAUAUCUCUGCUCUCUGAUAGCAGCACUUGUAUUCUGGAGCGGCUGAUUGUGGGAGGGGCGAAGUGAGGAGUCCAGGAAAUUAAGUCCCAUGUUUGUCCCAUGAGACUUCUUGCUGUUUGACAUCUGUAGAAGCCUCUCGGCUCACCUGCAGAGGUUGGCGAGCCCCAGAUGGUGAAUCUCAUCACUUCUGCCCAAUGAAUCCCACUGCUGCUUCCUGGCAGUCCUGCCACAGGCUUAUUUCUUCAAAAUCAUCUUCCUAUUUGCUAACCAUAGAAGAGCGUAGGGUGUGGCCCUUCGCCUUGGGGCGGCUUGUGGCUUCCAUCGCAUUAGAAAUGUUGUAAGAAUCUGCCAUUUUAACCUUGGCAAUUGUAUCUUUCCCAUGGUGAAUGGAGCUUUCAUAGGCUAUAUAUUUUGCCUACACUGAAAGUAUAAUACACUUAUCUUUACGCCAUGUGUCUUUGGAGAAGAGCUAGCUGAGCUGCAAGCAAAGAGUUCAAAAGUCCUUUUCUUCUAUUUUGUUUUGUUUAUAACUCCUGUUGAAUAAGGUCUCGCCUAAUUGGUUACCACUGUGUUGUUUAUAUGUUAGAUUUUGAAAUUAUGCUCAGUAUUCUUAGUGGGAAUUUAAUCCAAGUCUGUUAGGUUGCAGAUCCAUCUCUACACAUUCAGAGAGAAUUUCCCAACUCUGUUCUUAGUGUCUUUUAAGCUGUUCCUACGUAUGGUGCCCCUAGAGUGAGAAAUAGAGAGGGAUCCUAAGAGUGAGGAGUCCCAUUUAUUUCAGUUAUACUUGGUCAUUCCUCCCUGAAAGUCGUCAGGGAAACUGGGAUGCUGCAGCCCUUAUGCCUUUGAGGUCAAAUUGCGUGACCAUCUCUCCUAGUCCUUCCAGCACACUAGGGCUGUCAGGAGAGCAACUAUCUGGCAUCUUGGGAGAUGUUGGAACUGGACAGUCCUGAGAAAGCCUGUAAAACAGUCUGUAUGGCCCCAGAAGUCUGUGAAGGUCCUUUCUUUGGUAAAGCUGACCCAGGCCACUAGUGAAGACCACCUAAAGCUAUCAGCAUGCACAGAGGCAGCUGCUUGGAUUGAAACAGUGGACCAUGGUGUUCACCAGUGCUUGGGUAGUGUUGGGUGAUAUUGUCUGUGCACUGCAGAGUCUUAAGAGACUCUUCCUGCAAAAAAUGUGUGCUGUCUUUUGUUUCAUGUGAUGAGGAGACAAGUACAGGAGCACUGAAACAGCAUUGCUGCAGCUCAGGUGUCCGUGCAUCACCUGUCCUUUGGCUCUCAGGUACAGCGUGUUCCUCUUUACAGAGCAGAGCCCCUUGUUUUGUCGUAGUGAGAGAUCUGAGUUGUUCCUAAUCCUGUGCUAGUAUGGCUGCUUGCAGGGCACCUUGCUGGCUGGCACUGCAUUUGCGCUCAUCUGACAUCACCUUGUUUUUCAGGAGUUACCUCAUUUGGCUGUGGCUGGUGCUCACUGCCCCUUACUUAAAGUCAGCAGGGACUCACGUAACCGGCUGCUCCAUUUUUGAACAGCUGCUUGGCAUAGUGUGCAGCCAGUAGGCAAGUAUGUUUAGAGAAAAGACUAACAGGAAUUGCUUUUAUUUGUAUUCAAAGUGCUUUUGGUGCUGCGUAGACUCUCUCGCUUCAGCCUUUGUUUCCUCUGACCCUGUUUAGUACUGCUGGCAUGCUACAGAGGGCAAGAUGGCACAUGUCCCCACAUAGUUCAUUCAGUGUUGUCUCACUCCUGGACUGUGUAUUGGCUAGUCCUUGCUGUGGGAACACUUCAAAACUCAUGUCAGAGUAGUUUAGACUGAUGUGAAAUGCAGUGCUUUUUUCUUUGAAGCAGGUGCAGGGGGUACUUCUGUGGACUGUUUCUCCUGAUGAGUUAUGAGCCAUCAGAGUGUUGGCUUAUCUUCUGCAUUAUUUGUGCAAGGUUUGCUGCUCAGCUGGACUGGUGUUCUGCUUUUGGGUGGUGGGUUUUUGGUUUGGGUGUUGGUGGUUUUUGUCUUGAGAAGAGCUUUAAGUGGGGAGUGAAGCUGUGGGGAGAAGAAAGAUUGCACAAAGAAAGAUUAACACAAAUAGACUGGCUGGGAAGCUGCUACCAAGCCCUUGAAGAUGGUCUGGCAUAACAGGCACUGGAUGCUGUUGUAGUAAGAGCAAUACGUUCUCACUGUGAGCUAGAGGAGGGGAAAAUAUGCAUGCAGAGAACUCAAAGCAACCUCUCUAGCCUCAAGCUGCUUGCUUUUGGGUAUGUAUCUGUUACACUUGAGGAUGGACCAUAGAUGGAAAUAUGGGCAGACAGUUCACCAGAAAGGUCGCUGUUGUGCUGGUGCAGUGAUUCACAAAUUUGAGGUGCUGUAAAGACUGGUACUUCAAGUUUUGCAUCUUGCUGUUGGGGUUGGGGGGGAGCUAUGUGAACUUUGUGAGUAUACUCCCAGACCUGCUUUCUCCUCCUUCCAGUUCUACUUAAAGAAGCACCUUAACCUUCCACAUACAAAUAUCUAAUGAGGGAAGUGAGAACCCUGAAGAAUGGCCUCUCUGUCAGAAGAGUGUAGAGCCUGUUCUCAUGGCCUGAAAGCAGUUGUAUUCAGAAGUGUGGAUGUGAACUUGAGGAGAGAUCUUACCAACCUGCAUUAGAGCAUUGUUGAAGCUAGCUGCAGGGUAGACCUAGUCCUCAGACUGAUAUACUAGAGUAAGUGCUACGUAAGGAUGGGGGCAUGAUGUGUGGCUGGGAGUGCUGCUUGGAUAGGAAACAGAAACUGUCAUUAAGUAUUUUUGAGAUGACCGUAGAGUUGUUAGGCUUUAAGGCUUGCUUAUGAGGAUCUUUUCUUUGACCUUUUUGGGUUACACCAGGAAAAACUGUCCCUUGAUAACAUGUCAUAUCUCUUUACUUGAGGGCUUAUGUUCUUCCCUUCUUUCCCUUUGGUACUCCUCUCCCUUCUUGCAGAAGUACAUGCAGAAAGCCCAAAAGGGACCUCGAGGUCUGCUGGUUUGUAUAAUGUCCUCUAUGCAGUGAGUGAUAAGCCUUUUGGGCACGUGUGCAAAGUGAGCGUGGUUGGGUAAUGAAGAUAGCCAAACAAGAGAACUGAGUUUCAGCUUCUGUCCUGAGUUCCUCUGCUGUCGUCCUCUAUCCACCAAAGCCUGUUACAAUCCCUUAUACUAGAGCUACUGGCAGGAGGGUGGGGCAGGGUGAAGCCACAGGUGCCUUGCAGAAGUUCUGGAAAUGCUGGUGGUGGCCAUGGUUUCUUUGUGCAUGGUGCAGUGUGGAUGCAGCUGGAGACCUGCUCUCUGAAGGCUUUCCUGUGAUCAGAGAUGGGGCACUGUAGCUUGGGUUGCCCUUGCUAAUGAAGUCUUCGGUCAUCUGGCAGAAGUGUGCAAGCAUGGCUGCUGGAUUCUGGUCCCCAGAAUUCCCUGCUGUCACAUAAACUGGUUUUGUUCUUUUGAAAAAUAUAUAUAUUAGGAUUAAUUAAUGUUGGAGUAGCCCACACUGCCAUGUUAGCUUUGAUAUUAUAGCAUCGUAGUCAGGGCUGGUGGUCUGCAGGUGUGCAGUCCAAAGCUUGCUGCUGUGUGUAUGGUGGACCCUUUAUAGUACAUCUGUUCUAAUCUGUUAUUUUUAGGAUGAGGCAGUAUCUUUUGACUUUUUCUGUAAAACUUCAUGCUAUGAAACAUUUUCGCUGAAUGCUGCAGUCGUGUUUUGACAGUGGGAAGGUAAUGUGGUCUGGAGGAUGGGAGAUACAUUGGCGUGUGGUAUGAAAAUGACAGCUGUCCGGGGUGAAGCUGGUCUGUUGUCCUGUAGAAGGAAGUCGGUAUUGCUUUUCCUCUGUGGAUGAAGUUACUAAUAAACAGUCUUCACUGAGGGCUUGAGGAUUUAUGUGGUAUGUUAAAGGCUGGGACCUAUAAUUUGUAUUUUAAUUUUUUUAAUGUAUGAAAACUCAGAAAGGGGUAAAUAAGUCAUUGAUAUAUUUGCAUUCAUAUAGGAAAAAAGUGUGCAUCUAGUAGUUUCUCACAGUACAUGAUAAGGUAUAGAAUACAGAAGGAAGGUUUCAUAACUAUUCAUAAAUCUACCAUUUUUUCUGACUUAUUUCACUUAGAAAUCUAAAUUAUUUUCAUGUUGCUUUUUCUUACAUAAUAUUAAGAUGUAAUAUUUUGGAAAAAAAAAAACAAACACACACCUUAUUUUACUCCAUAAAACUUCUGUGGUUGACACAGUUAUACAGUAUCAGUGCAAAUGGCUUGGUUUAGUCAGCAGAUUCAGUGCAAUGCGCUUUUUUUAUCAAAUGAAGUUGAACUAACCUUUUUUUGCAAAUAAUUCACAUGUGGGAGUGAGUCAGUUUUUUCUACACCUACUAGAAACAAGUGAUUUUAACUGUGUGAGUCAGAACUGAAGAGACUUGUUUCAUUAGCUUUUUUUAUAGCAAGUUGCUUUUACUUUAUGGUUAUAUAUUAAUGUUUGGGGUUUUAGAAAUGUGGAUCUGUAGCUGAGAUUAGUUGGGAAUGUUAAACUACUACAGUUUCUUCACAUUUAUGAAACUUACAUUUUUUCCCUUGCUUGUAAUUUGAGGCAAUUCAAGUAAGCUGUUUUUAGAUGGGUAUUACAAAGCAAGAAUUACAAUGCUUACCUAAACAAUCACAAAUUUAUCUGAGCUGUUAACAGAAUAUAGUGCCUAGGAUUAGGAAAAAAAUUUAUAGGUUCAUCUUUUUAAUUACCCAUGUCUGAAAAGAUUAAUAGGAUGAUGGACCACAGGCAAAUCUGUUUAGAAAAAUAGAAGGCCUUGUUAAAGCUUUUUACUGUAUUUUUGCCUUUGAUAAUGCUUUAAACAGAGUUGAGAUUCAUUUUCUAAGCCUUUCCUAUGGUACGCUUGAGAAUUCCAAUAUAUUCUUGAUGUAGUUACCAAAGAACUUGUAUCAUGUGCACUAAUAUAUCACACUGAAGCUCUAGUAUUUUUUUAUUUUUUAAGAAAAGGGAUUUAAUUUUAAAAGCUUUUCCAGGUCUAAGAAUUUCUAAGUACAUUUGGUCUGUAGUUCAGUGUGAUCUGUUCAUUUUAGCUGUCUCCUAUGCUAAAAUAUUCCACUCAAUUUUUCUCAUCAGUGUAUGCAGAUUGCCAGAGUGCAAGCUUUCAUUUAUAAGGAUCUUUGUUCGCUAUAAUGAAUGUAGCUUUCUUCAGUAGGAAACUACACACUGUUUUCUUAAGCCCUGAUUUUGCAUAGACCUCAGUAAUCACGUCUGUAGAUAUACUUAGAGUGCAUUCAGAUUAAGUGCGUGCAUCCAUCAUGGCCAGCUGAGGCCUUAGGCACCCUGAAGUGCCUGAGAUCUUAAUUUCUGUCAUUCAUGUCAUCAGGGUCUUAAUGCUGAAACCUGUUAUUACUUAACCACAGCCCAGAGCUUCAAGUGUCACUAGUAGCUCUGCAUGCCCAAUCUGAGACCUCUAUAAAGGAGUCUGAGCUUUGUUUAUUAAUCAGGUGUGUGUUAAUUAAGGCUAAGGUAUAGUUCUUAAUUUGCAUAAGUGCAGUGCCAUUGAAGGAGGUGAUACUGCCCCUCUGCUCUGGUGAAACCCCACCUGGAGUUCUGCGUCCAGCUUUGGAGCCUCAGCACAGGAAAGACAGAGACCUGUUGGAGAGGGGCCGGAGGAGGCCACAGAAAUGAUGAGAGGGCUGGAACACCCCUCCUAUAAGGACAUGCUGAGAGAGUUGGGGUUGUUCAGCCUGAAGAAUAGAAAACUCCAGGGACACCUUAUUGUGGCCUUUCAGUACUUAAAAGGAGCCUGUAAGAAAGAAGGGGACAGACUUUUUAGCAGGGCCUGUUGCCAUAGGAAAGGGGGUGAUGGUUUUAAACUAAAGGAGGGGAGAUGCAGGCCAGACAUUAGGAAGAAAUUUUUUUACAGUGAGGGUGCCGAGACCCUGACCCAGGUUGCCCAGAGAGGUGGUGGAUGCCCCAUCCCUGGAGACAUUCAAGGCCAGGCUGGACGGGGCUCUGAGCAACCUGAUCUGGGUGAAGAUGUCCCUGCUCAUUGCAGGGGUUGGACUAGAUGACCUUUGAAGGUCCCUUCGAACCCAAACUAUUCUGUGACCUGAGGAAGGAUGAUGUUUCUAGUAAAUGCAUGGUAAUACUUCUGGGGCAUCUGAAACCUUCAUCCCACUCUGUCUCUGAUUCCCCUCCUGGAUCUCUGGAAGCAGAGAUCCACGUGUACCUGUCACUCCCUCAUGACAGGGGUCAUCCCCAUUGUCUGUAUGCCUUUGAAAUUCUGCUGCUGUUGCAGCAUGACUUCUACAACCUUAAUUUUGCACAUCCUUCCUCAAAAGCUGGCUUCUUCACAGAGUUUUUUUUUCUGUCCACUGCCAGCUUUAUUGCUGCCCGCGUGACUUGGAUUAUCAAUACUGAAAGCUGGAAUGUUCCCAGUGUCUUUUAUUUUACUGUAAUUAAGGCAGAGUAGAAACAGCAGGAGAGUGACUUUAGGCGUGAAGAUCCUAUUACCAUUUUGAAAUAUGUUCCCAAAGGUUUGCUUUUUAAGAUGCAUGUUUAGUCUUCAAAUUUAGCUCCUUGUCCAUUCCUAGUGCUGAGAGAUGAUGCCUAGUGUGUGUGUGUGCUCUGCAGACUUUGUUCUGCAGCCCCGACUGUUCUUGGGCUGUGGGUCUUAAGAAGAGUAGCAAGUUCAUUUAUUUUUUUCUGUGGCUAUGUAUACUUGAGUAAUAAGUUUGUACUGAAAAUUUUAAAUUAAGGAGUUGUGUUUUUGUUAUCUAGUCUGUGAUCAUUUGUGCUGUGUCUGAGUGAAACUGCAACGUAAUAUCAGUCCGUGCUUUCUUUUUAGUUUGCGUGUUCCUUAAGGCAAGGGUGAGAUCUCACUGAGCACUCGCUAUCAGUGGUUCCUUUUAGGAUGCCUUUUUUGCCCUGCAACCCUCUCAAGUUACUUGCCUGAUAAAAAGGAAGCUACAUUUUUUGUGAUUCAGAACCUCAUACUAUAUGACUUAUUGCUGGAGGCUGGGAGAAAAAAUUUUUAAAUGUACAAAUGGCUAAAAGUGAUAUAAAGGUCCUAAUGGAAUAACUGGUAACUAGUAACUUCUAGAUGUUGAGCUAUAAAUGCAGAUUGAAAGCUGGAGUCUGUGGUAUUUAAUCUUUCUGCCUUUUAUGGGUAAUAUGGUAUUUUUCUGAAACGCAUGACACUUCAUCUUUCAGAGCAGGCUUUCUGAGAAGUUGCAGAUGAAUUCGUCUGUUGUAUCACAGGGAAGAAGCACAAACAUUUUUCUUCCAGACCAGCUUUAACUAGUUGUAACAAAAUGCUGUAGUCCUGUAGCAUGGUGUUGCUGCAUAGAAGAAUUAAGUUUGUUGUAACUUACUCUCUUAUGUAACUGUAUAUUUCCAUUGCUAGUAAGUUCAGCCUUUGGUCUCCUCAACAGUUAUUAUUUAUGUUGGGAACAACGACAAUAUCAAACAGCUGUUUUUAAACUGUGGCCUGGUACUCCAGAUAAAACAAUAGAGGAAAACAUACAGUGGAGAUACCUAACUAGAGGGAGUAUCUGGCCCGCAGACUGUCUUUAUCUUACCCCUAGAAGUAUUUACUGGUUAUUAAGGAAACUGAGCUGUGGUUAUCGCUCUGUGUGUGUUAUUGCAGACCAGCAGGAUUUACUGCAUUGGAUAUAGUGCUGUACCAGCAGGGCUGGGCUGGUCAGGAAUGACCCAGGGAGUCAAAACCCAGUCAUGUCUAUGGCUGUGGCUAGAAGUUACCAAUGCUUGUGCAUCCUGAAGGUGACUACCUGAUGUGAAAUGCAAAGGCAAAAGACCUGACACUUUGAAAAGGAGGAGGAGGGCAGAUUUAAUUUUAAAACAUUUCAGUGACGGAGCAGCUUUUAGUGCUCAGAGGAAAGGGCUUUGCAGUGAUUAUCCUCAGUGUUAAAGGUGUGCAUGUAUUUGAGCGGCUCAAGCCAGGAGCAGAAGUGCCCUGGUUGAUUUUGACAGAAUCGGAGCUACAGGUAAUCUGGUUAUAAACUUCCUGUUCUUACCGGUAGUAUUAACCAUUGUAAAGAUUUACUGUUUACUGUUUCAGCCACUUUUUGAGGGCGGGGAUAGCAAAGAUUGCAUUCUGUACUUUACCUUUUCCAUACCAGCAUUAUUUUUUCUUCACACCAUAAAGCCUCAUGAAGUUCAGCAUGACAAGUGCAAAGCCUUGCACUGUGGAGUUACGUAAGUUGGGGAAUGGCCAGCUAGACAGCAGUCUUGCAGAAAAAGAUUUGGGGAUCCUGGUAAACAAUUAGUUGAAAAAGUCCAUAGUACAUCAUUGUAGAAACAGAGGCUGCCUGUGUACUGGACUGCAUCAACAAGAAAAUAGCCAGCAGGUUGAGGGAAGUGGUUAUUCUGCUCUUCACAGCACUUGUGAGGCCAUUUCUGGAGUUCUCGGUCUUCCAGUACAGAAAAAACACUGAGAAACUGAAGUGAGUCCCGCAGAGGAGCAGUGGUGUGGUUGGGGGCCUGCAGCACAUGCUGUGCAAGACAAGCCAGAGAUACCUGGGGUUGGUGAGCAGGGAGGAGGGGAGCCUGGUCAUGAUCCUCAACUGCCAGAUACUGGGUUAGGGAGAACACAGAGGCAGAUGCUUCUCAGGUGCACUGCCAUGGAGAGGCAAUGGACACAGGCACGGAGCAUUCUGACUGUGUAAGGGCAAAAAGUAUUCCUACUAAGGGUGGCCAGGCACUGGAAGAGACACCCAGAGAGCUGACAGUCUCUCCAUCCCAGGAGAUAAACCUCACCUGGGAAAGGCCUCGAGUGACCUGAUUGAACUUUGAUGUUAUCUCAGCUUUGAGGUUGGACUCUGAUCUACAGAGAUCCCUUCUAAACUAAAAUUAUUCUGUGAUUAUUUUUUUUUUAUGUUAGCAAUUUAUUUAACAUCACAAUUCUUUUAAUAGAAAAGUUGUUCUUCCUACUUCUCAGAAUGAAAAGAUGUGAAAUAGAAUCUUCUUGUUGUAGAUGAAGUAGUUGACAUAACUUGUGUAAUUUUAUUGUUUUUUGCUCAUCUCAGGUGUUUAUACUGAUUAGUUGGCAUUUUACCACAUAGUCUGAAUGUAAGUAUUGACAAGCCUUUAAGUAAAUUUUAGGCUUGUAAAUGAUGGGAAACUAAAUUUUGUUCAUGUUCUUCUGCCAUGUAUUUAAUAAAAGCACCAGUUUCCUUGUUCCUGGAUGAGAAUUGCCAGAACAGGUUUCAAGAACUUUGAACCUAUGUUUUAUGUCUAGUGCUCUUUCCCAAGUGUGGUUUCCUUAUGUCUAGUUGUUAACCUUGACAGCAGUUGAAGUAUUUUAAAGCUUUAGUUCCAUGGAGCUGUCAGAAGAGCCUGCAAUCCCUGCAUGACUGUGAGCCUGAAUCAUCCCUUAUGAAAAAUACAGGUUUAGCUGUUCUGCUAGAGAUGUUCUCAUGUCACAAAGGGAUCUCUAACUUGUAGGCUUCCUAAUGUCCUUAUAUGUAACGAUAUAAGGAACCUGACUAAGCAGUUGCUAACAACAGAGUGAAACAAAUCUUCCUCAUGGUUGUAAAGAUCUAAUGGGAGAUACUGUCGAUUUUUGUUUCAUUUGUAAAAUAAGAGCUCGUAUGACUUACAUGAAGUUGGACUUGCAACAUGGUUUUAGUGCUGAUAUUCUUUCUUGAUAGUAGUGCACUUAGCAAACCGAAACCUACAACAAAUGCAGUGUUUCAAAAUCAUAUUGAUAUAUGGAAAAUAGCAUAGGAAGUGCUAUCAAUAAUAAGGGUAACAAUAUACGAAUGGGACAAAAAACCAAGAACUGAUCCCCUUGUUAGUGGUGUGUUGUAAUUGUUAAUAUGAUAUCCUAAGUGAGCCUUGACUUUCCAUACGAAGAAUUUAUAUCUGUGUUUUUGAGUACGCUGCUUGCAGCAAACUCCUGAGGAAAUAAGAUUUUUCAGAAUUCUCAUGAUUCCUGAAUGCCUGGAAGUCUGGUAGACAUCCUUGUCAGAGCACAUACACCGUCAGCUAUGUCAUGAAGAUAUUCAUUGACAGAACUAUAUCAUGUGAUGGUCCAUUGCCCUUCUGGGGCAAAGACUGUCUGUAUGUAGGGAAUUCAUAACGUUGAUUUUUCAGAAUAAACUGUUCAAAGUGUUGCACAGUUGUUUCAGAUGCUGUGGUUGUGAGGCCUCAGCUUUGUUUGUGUUUGGGGUAUGGAGGUUGUUCACGCUGUGUUCUAGUUUCGGUGUAUUGCUUCCCUCUUGGGAGGUACCUGCGCACUGUGCAACUACCUUGGGGGAAAAACAGAGAGUGAAGUAAUGGUAAUAACUUCUUUCUUUGGAUUGAGUCUUGCUGCCUAAAACUACUGAGAAAUAUCAUCCCCUUCCUCUCAUGUGUGUGAUUUCCUCUUUGAUUUCAUCGUUCAGACUUUACUUCUUAUUUCCUAUUUGUAUUUAGAGAAGGCACUUUGCAGCAAUGUCUUCAGAACAGCGAUUCAAGCUUGUGCACACAUUGCUGCGAUGAUCUUUUGCGUCAAUGGCUGUAAUAUGUCAUUGUGCGCAUUGGUAAUAAUACCUCUUACUUCAAGUAUAUGCUUGAUAGCUACAGAAUAAAUAAUACAGAGACUUUACUGGAAAAUGUGCUCCCGUAAUUUACCGUCAGAGCUGUAUGGGGACUGUGAAAUGGGUGACAGCUGGUAGAAGAUAAUGGAUUAUCUUUCUGCAGGAGAGAAGCAUGGGCAAGACCUACUUCUUACUUCAAUCUCCUCACCCUCAUCUCUCCCUCCCCCCUCAUGUCCCAUAUAACACUUAAGAACCUGUCCUCUACGUUUUCUGGGGACUUAGGUGGAGACUGUUAGCUAGCACUUCUGUGUUCAAAAAAACAAAAAGAUUAAUUGGCAAGGAAAUAAGUUUAUCUGUGCAUAACAAUUCAUGGAAGAGGAAAUCAACACUGUCUACUUGUAAUCUUUUAACACUUGCCCAGAAAUAGAUUGUUGAGGAGUCAUAGUAUUUGAAUUAAAAUUUGCAAUAUUGGAAUAAAAAAAAUAAGCAGGUACACCAAUUAGAAAGGACUGGAAAAAGCAUCACUUAAAGUCCUAAAUAUUGAUCAAUACACUACAAACAGUGGUCAGGCCAGACAUCUUUAUCACUUCUGGAAGUACCGGGUAGCCUGUACUUUAAAGAAAACCCUAAGUUGAGCCUGUGUACCAAAAUGUUUUUUAAGUAAGAUUUUGAAGGAGAGAUAGAACUGAUUAUACUUGAAGAAAAAAAUGUUCACAAGUGAUAACUGAAAGAUUCUUACUAGACUUUUCAGGGGGUUGAUGUGUUAAAAUAUGUUCAUGUAGGACAGAUGAGGCUCCAAAUUGACUUAGUUAUUUGAAAAUGCAUUUCAUAUAGAAUGGUUCUUCUGAAAAGGCAAACUUAAGUUUUGAUUUCAUGCAAUACAGUUGUAAACGUUCUUUUUACUUCCUUUAAAAUAAAACUGAAGAGACAGGGCCAGCAACUGCACAAACUACUCAAGUAUUGUAAGAUAUCUUAAAAUAAUUUAGUACAUUUUUGUUCCUGUGUAAGAGUAGCUACUGGUACAGUGUGAACACUGUAAUAGAAAUCAUGACAAAGUGACACUUGCUGCUCAUGGAAAUCAUACAGUGAGUAGUUCAACACAUAGCUGUUCCUGAUACUUUUUUUGCAAAGAUUUUGUGGAGUUAGAUUUUUUUAGAGUGAUGCUAUGAAUUUUGUUUUAGAAUUCAAAUUAUACAGGAAACAAGAGUUAAGCUUCAAGAAAUAAUGAUAGAAGUGAAAUUGCCUGUCUGUUAGGGUAUAAGCAUUAGGAUGGUUCCCAGAAGAACAGUCUUCAGGACCUUCAACUCCCUUAUGGAAGACCUGUACAAUAAAAAUGCAGGCUUUAUAAGACCAUACUUCCUUCCCCCGAGUGCUUCAUGGUGUCUCUGUCCAUUGGCACAGGUUUGUGUUGAACCAGAUUGAAGCCUGCAUGUUACUUAAAAGGCCAUGAAACUACUGAGAGAUUUAAAAAUCCAUGUCCUUGCUGGAUUCACAGUGGCAAUCCAAAGAUAGAAUGAUGUGUUACUAAACAAGCAGUCCUGAGCACCUUUUCCUGUAGGUUAAUAAAAAAAAAAGGAAAAAAGCCAUAAGUGGCAUAAAUACUGAGAAUCUUUAGAGAUGAAAAAGAGGAGAUGACAUCUCUUCCAGAUUUCUUUCCAUUAGAAAAUUCCAAAGAAGUUCAUGGAACAAAAGGAUUGCGUAGCCUCAGCUCCACAAUUCUAGCAUCAAAAAUGGAACCAGUGCAUCUGAACUACAGUGCCAAAGAUGAAAAGUUUGACAGUCUUUAAAAGACCGUGUUUUGGGACUGACUGGUUUUUUGAAGUAAGUGCAAAUGGAAAAUAUUACUUAAGAGCUAAACCAAUCACUGAAUAGGCAAACUAGCCAAGGUUCACUUAGAUGACACUGGAGAUAAAUUAGUAAAGGAAAACACUAAAUUCUGUGUGGAAAAAGAGGAGAGACAAAUGGCGUAUAGCUAAAAUGUUGUAUAAGGAAGUAGAGGGGCAGUCAUUUGACCUUUCUCUGUAAAUCGUCGACUUCAGUGUCUAUACUAGUUUGCAGUUACAUUGCAACAGCCUAAAGUAUUUUGAAAAUUGGCAGAAAUUCCUUGUUCUGCUUGUGGUCUCCUCAGAGGCCAUGUACUGCGUCAGAUGAUUUGUGGAAGUUAAUGCAUUUUUGUUGGUUCCUACUCUGGAAGGGCAGAAUUCUGAAAGCACAUUUGUGCUGGUAAGGUUUUCCAACAGCAUCUGUACUGGCUUGCAGGUGCUUACCUGCGUGUUGCACUGGAGCAUCCAAACCUUUGGUUAUUUCCAAGUAUGAGGAAAGGAAGAGGUUGGAAGCCAACAGAAUGGAGCCUGAGGUAUAGAUGAAGAUUUGAGAUUGCCAGCCUACUACAAGCUUGUUCUGGAUGUGCUGGUAUUUGAUUUUCUCUUUCCAAACCAAAACACCUGUCUAGAUGGUCUACAUAUGAGGAAGGAAAAGGAGUUCUUUACUUAAAUGUGUGGAAAUAAAUCUUAGGGUGAAAGGAUUAUGAAUAUAAUGCUUAUUAAACAAAGGUGGUGUGUGGAUAAUUUUACUCUUAAAUUCAAGUAAAGAGAGCUGAAAAGUUUUGUUAAAAUGUUAAGCCUAGAAGUGGAAGAUUCUCUCUGUUCUGCAUCUGAUAUAAAUAUGUUGUUGGGAGGAUCCCCACUUGCCUACCUUGAAAAUCUGAGGGGCGAGGUGUAAAGGUGUGGUAUUUACAACUGUGGGCGUGAUGAUUGAAAUGAUUUUCAUAUUUUAAUAGUAGUAAUUUUGGUAUCAACUGAGGACCGCAAACAGAUUUUUCUUUCCUGCUGGCUUCAAACAUAUGCAAGAAGGAGGGAGAAGCUAGAACCUGGGGAGCUUGGGCUGCUGCUGGUCACACUGGGGUGCGCAGUAACGGGAGCUCACCUGGCAGCUGCCUGGACAUCAGCACUAUGGCAGGAACCUCUGCAGCAACCGGGAUGCUGUGAUGGCCUUUGCAUGGGCAGCUCGUCCCACCUCGGGCUGCGCUACUGAAGAUGACGACUGCUGAACAAGAGCUGCACUCCCUUACCCUGCUUGCUAGCGCUGGUUUAUCAGCCAUUUCUGACCCUUCAGUGCCGAUGAUUCGGUUUGAUAAACUACAGGAUGGUAGUUUCAUUAUGUAUCUUGGUUGGUUAGUUUUUGAUGGUUUAACGAGCAGAAUUGAAUCCGUGAGGUGAGACCAGCUGGAUUUGUUACAGGUGAUUGAAGGAAGGGAGCAGUUCUGUCAAACUGCCCCUCUGGUCCCAGCGAUCCGCCCCAGUUGUGUCACUCAACCACAUCUUCACUCUGAAUUUGUAAACAGAGAAAAGGGUUACCUCACAAUGUGGAUUUCUCUCCUACCACUCUAAGUGCAUUUGUGUAGGUGCUUUGUUAUUAAUAGAAACCCCUAACCUUUGAAAUAAAGGGGGUGGCAUGUGGUAAAUAUAGCACCAAUGUAAAAUAUGAAUUGUUCUGUUACAUAAUGCAUGUAUUAAGUUUUUAGUAACUUGAGAGAACACCUUCAUAUAUCUGGAGAAAACAAAAGAUGUGUGUUUACUGUAAAUAAUUGAUAAAAUGGUUAUGCUGCUCGUCUUGCUAGGUUUUACUUUUAAGAUGAAAUAAGGCGUGCAGUUAGAAAACCAGAACUUUCCUCGUACAUUGCUGUAAGUUGUAGCUUCUUAAUUAAUGUAAAUGUCUGUAAGCUUAUAUCAGCACAGUAUGGUCAUCAGAUUGGAAUUAUUUUAUUUCCUAGCAAGGUGUGCAAGAUAUGCUGGGUCUGAUGAAAUUCAGAUUCACGCCUAUGUUCAUGAAAUUUGAGUGAGGUCAAAUUUGAGGUUUUCUUAAUCUCUAGUUUGCCACUUAUUUUUCAGAUAGUUUCAAUAUUGAAGAGUUUUUCUAAGAAGUAAUAAUUCUCAAACUGUUCUAUGAAAACAAAUCUGCUUUUUAGAUUAUUCAUCAUGCAGUAGAAUAAGUGGAUUUUAGCAAUAUUUACAACUUUGUUAUGGAAUGAAAGAAAUUGAAUCAUUGAAAUUCUCCUGUUUGGAACAUGCUAAUUCAUGUAGAAAAAUGAAACAAUUUUUCCAUUACUGACGUGCUUCAAUAUGUGAUCUCCAUUUGCUGUGGUUUAAGUGGUCUCUCCAAUACAUGCAAAAUGUGGCCCUGGAGUUAGGAGUACAGAAAAAUUUGGGUGCCAAUAAGAUGACAUUAAACAGAGAUUGUAUUCUA